AGAGUUUGAUCAUGGCUCAGGAUGAACGCUAGCGGCAGGCUUAACACAUGCAAGUCGAACGGUAAGGCCCUGCUUGCAGGGUACACGAGUGGCGCACGGGUGCGUAACGCGUAUGCAACCUACCCAUUACAGAGGGAUAGCCCCGAGAAAUCGGGAUUAAUACCUCAUAAUAUCACAUGACCGCAUGGUCGAGUGAUUAAAACUCCGGUGGUAAUGGAUGGGCAUGCGUGACAUUAGUUAGUUGGUGAGGUAACGGCUCACCAAGACUACGAUGUUUAGGGGUUCUGAGAGGAUUGUCCCCCACACUGGUACUGAGACACGGACCAGACUCCUACGGGAGGCAGCAGUAGGGAAUAUUGGUCAAUGGACGAAAGUCUGAACCAGCCAUGCCGCGUGCAGGAUGAAGGCCCUACGGGUCGUAAACUGCUUUUAUAUGGGAAGAAACCCCCGGACGUGUCCGGGGCUGACGGUACCAUAAGAAUAAGGAUCGGCUAACUCCGUGCCAGCAGCCGCGGUAAUACGGAGGGUCCAAGCGUUAUCCGGAUUUAUUGGGUUUAAAGGGUCCGUAGGCGGGAAAUUAAGUCAGUGGUGAAAGCCUACGGCUCAACUGUAGAACUGCCAUUGAAACUGAUUUUCUUGAAUAUAGAUGAAGUAGGCGGAAUAUAUCAUGUAGCGGUGAAAUGCAUAGAUAUGAUAUAGAACACCGAUUGCGAAGGCAGCUUACUAAACUAUUUUUGACGCUGAGGGACGAAAGUGUGGGGAGCGAACAGGAUUAGAUACCCUGGUAGUCCACACCGCAAACGAUGAUUACUCGGUGCUAGCGAUAUACUGUUAGUGCCUAAGCGAAACCAUUAAGUGAGCCACCUGGGGAGUACGUCGGCAACGAUGAAACUCAAAGGAAUUGACGGGGGCCCGCACAAGCGGUGGAACAUGUGGUUUAAUUCGAUGAUACGCGAGGAACCUUACCUGGGCUUAAAUGUAGAUUGCAUAGAGUAGAAAUAUUCUUUUCCUUCGGGACUAUUUACAAGGUGCUGCAUGGUUGUCGUCAGCUCGUGCCGUGAGGUGUCGGGUUAAGUCCCAUAACGAGCGCAACCCCUAUUCUUAGUUGCCAGCGGGUCAUGCCGGGGACUCUAGGAAAACUGCCAGCGUAAGCUGUGAGGAAGGUGGGGAUGACGUCAAAUCAGCACGGCCCUUACGUCUAGGGCUACACACGUGCUACAAUGGCCGGUACAGAGGGCAGCUACCACGUGAGUGGAUGCGAAUCUCCAAAGCCGGUCUCAGUUCGGAUCGAAGUCUGCAACUCGACUUCGUGAAGUUGGAUUCGCUAGUAAUCGUAUAUCAGCAAUGAUACGGUGAAUACGUUCCCGGGCCUUGUACACACCGCCCGUCAAACAAUGGAAGCUGGGGGUACCUGAAGUCCGUCACCGAAAGGAGCGGCCUAGGGUAAAACUAGUAACUGGUGUUAAGUCGUAACAAGGUAAC
rnacentral:rRNA from 1 species